GAUGAACGCUGACAGAAUGCUUAACACAUGCAAGUCAACUGUGGCGGACGGGUGAUUAACUCGUAAAGAACUUGCCUCACAGUUAGGGACAACAUUUGGAAACGAAUGCUAAUACCUGAUACUGUGAGAGAGCUUUGCGUCCCAUUAGCUAGUUGGCGAGGUAACGGCUCACGAUGGCGAUGAUGGGUAGCCGGCCUGAGAGGGUGAUAGGCCACAAGGGGACUGAGACACGGCGCUUACUGCUACGGGAGGCAGCAGUGGGGAAUAUUGGACAAUGGACAAAAGUCUGAUCCAGCAAUUCUGUGUGCAGGAUGAAGUUUUCGGAAUGUAAAGUGCUUUCAGUUGGGAAGCGGUACCAACAGAAGAAGUGACGGCUAAAUACGUGCCAGCAGCCGCGGUAAUAC
rnacentral:rRNA from 1 species